GUGAAUCAUCGAAUCUUUGAACGCACCUUGCGCUCCUUGGUAUUCCGAGGAGCAUGCCUGUUUGAGUGUCGUGAAAUUCUCAACCUUUCAAGCUUUGAUUAAGAAGCUUUUGAACGGCUUGGAUUUGGGAGUUUGCUGGUUCUAGCGAAUCAGCUCUCCUUAAAUAUAUUAGCAAGAUAAUCGCUGAAUCAUCUUUGAUAUGAUAAUUAUCUAUAUCAUCGAUGAAAACAGUACCUUCCCUUCAGGGAAGGAUCUGGCUUCUAACAGUCUCUCGAGACAAUUCUUUGACACAUUUGACCU
rnacentral:misc_RNA from 1 species